rnacentral:rRNA from 1 species
GACGAACGCUGGCGGCGUGCCUAAUACAUGCAAGUUGAGCGCUGAAGGCUGGUACUUGUACCAACUGGAUGAGCAGCGCACGGGAGAGUAACGCGUGGGGAAUCUGCCUUUCAGCGGGGGACAACAUUUGGAAACGAAUGCUAAUACCGCAUAAAAACUUUAAACACAAUUUUUAAGCUUGAAAGAUGCAAUUGCAUCACUCAAAGAUGAUCCCGCGUUGUAUUAGCUAGUUGGUGAGGUAAAGGCUCACCAAGGCGAUGAUACAUAGCCGACCUGAGAGGGUGAUCGGCCACCUUGGGAGUGAGACACGCCCCAAACUCCUACGGGAGGCAGCAGGAGGGAAACUUCGGCAAUGGACGAAAGUCUGACCGGGCAACGCCGCGUGAGUGAAGAAGGUUUUCGGGUCGUGAAACUCUGUUGGUAGAGAAGAACGUUGGUGAGAGUGGAAAGCUCAUCAAGUGACGGUAACUACCCAGAAAGGGACGGCUAACUACGUG